rnacentral:lncRNA from 1 species
CUUUUAUAAAAACUCAUCAGUACCCUACUGUUUCAUUCGUGUUCCUGAGCACCUCAAUGUUGGUUAUUGUGGGUUCCACCCUUUGAGCCGUGAGCAUGAUCGUGAAGCUAGCCGUGUAGCUCUGUGUGAUGAUUAGUGCCACAAAGAGCCACACAACCACCACCAUUCUUGACAAAUUGCUAUGUAACUUGUCACCUGUACAACCAUCUCCAAACCUAACUCGGUGUACGGUUGAGUGAAAUCCAGAUAGUCCAGC